rnacentral:rRNA from 1 species
GACGAAGGGGGCUAGCGUUGUUCGGAAUUACUGGGCGUAAAGCGUGCGCAGGCGGUUCGCCAAGUCAGGUGUGAAAUCCCCGGGCUUAACCUGGGAAUUGCGCUUGAAACUAGCGGGCUUGAGUGUGGCAGAGGGGGGUGGAAUUCCACGUGUAGCAGUGAAAUGCGUAGAGAUGUGGAGGAACACCGAUGGCGAAGGCAGCCCCCUGGGUCAACACUGACGCUCAUGCACGAAAGCGUGGGGAGCAAACAGG